rnacentral:rRNA from 1 species
UGCCUACGGAGGGCAGCAGUAGGGAAUCUUCCACAAUGGGCGAAAGCCUGAUGGAGCAACGCCGCGUGAAGGAAGACGGUUUUCGGAUUGUAAACUUCUGUUCUUAGUGAAGAAGAAUGACGGUAGCUAAGGAGCAAGCCACGGCUAACUACGUGCCAGCAGCCGCGGUAAUACGUAGGUGGCAAGCGUUGUCCGGAAUUACUGGGUGUAAAGGGAGCGCAGGCGGGAAGCCAAGUCAGCUGUGAAAA